UACAGAGGUGGCAAGCGUUUGUUCGGAAUUACUGGGCGUAAAGGGCGCGUAGGCGGCCUUCUAAGUCAGACGUGAAAUCCCCAGGCUUAACUUGGGAACUGCGUCUGAUACUGGGAGGCUUGAGUGCGGGGAGAGGGAUGUGGAAUUCCAGGUGUAGCGGUGAAAAUUCGUAGAUAUUAGGAAGAACACCAGUGGCGAAGGCGGCUCACUGGUCCGGUACUGACGCUGAGGUGCGGAAAGCGAGGGGAGCAAACAGG
rnacentral:rRNA from 1 species